CUCCUGGACAGAAAUGAGGACCUGGGAACAAUAAAACUCUAGAUCAGGACCCAUAGUUUCAUCUCAACACAGGACAGACUGCAUUCCAGUACUAACUACAGUGUCAUCACACAGUAUGCAGCUUCUUUCCCAAAACCCUAUGGAAAAACAAUCCCUUGUCCUGGAUGUGACCCUUUACUAUAUGCAAAUGGGGAUGUGGUGGAAGACUAAGAGAAUUCCUCUACCUACAAUGACUGCCAUUACCAUCCUUGUCCAGUGACUGAUAAGCAGCUUCAGGAAUUCUACAUCUAUGGAAAUGCUUCUCGCAGUGCAAAAGUCCUGCCUGUCCUGGAACUGACUUUGUAAACCAUGCUGGCCUGGAACUCACAAAGAUUCAUCUGACUCGGCAUCCCAAGUGCAGGCAUAAAAGGCUUGAGCCAACUUACCAGGUCAUUG
rnacentral:lncRNA from 1 species